UGGGGAAUCUUGGACAAUGGGGGCGAACCCUGAUCCAGCCAUGCCGCGUGAGUGAUGAAGGCCUUAGGGUCGUAAAGCUCUUUCGCCUGUGAAGAUAAUGACGGUAGCAGGUAAAGAAACCCCGGCUAACUCCGUGCCAGCAGCCGCGGUAAUACGGAGGGGGUUAGCGUUGUUCGGAAUUACUGGGCGUAAAGCGCACGUAGGCGGACCAGAAAGUUGGGGGUGAAAUCCCGGGGGCUCAACCCCGGAACUGCCUCCAAAACUAUUGGUCUAGAGUUCGAGAGAGGUGAGUGGAAUUCCAAGUGUAGAGGUGAAAUUCGUAGAUAUUUGGAGGAACACCAGUGGCGAAGGCGGCUCACUGGCUCGAUACUGACGCUGAGGUGCGAAAGUGUGGGGAGCAAACAGGAUUAGAUACCCCUGGUAGUCCACACCGUAAAACGAUGAAUGCCAGUCGUCGGGUAGCAUG
rnacentral:rRNA from 1 species